GACGAACGCUGGCGGCGUGCUUAACACAUGCAAGUCGAACGGUAAGGCCCUUCGGGGUACACGAGUGGCGUACGGGUGAGUAACACGUGGGUGAUCUGCCCUGCACUUCGGGAUAAGCCUGGGAAACUGGGUCUAAUACCGGAUAGGACCCUGGGAUGCAUGUCCUGGGGUGGAAAGCUUUUGCGGUGUGGGAUGGGCCCGCGGCCUAUCAGCUUGUUGGUGGGGUGAUGGCCUACCAAGGCGACGACGGGUAGCCGGCCUGCGAGGGUGACCGGCCACACUGGGACUGAGAUACGGCCCAGACUCCUACGGGAGGCAGCAGUGGGGAAUAUUGCACAAUGGGCGCAAGCCUGAUGCAGCGACGCCGCGUGAGGGAUGACGGCCUUCGGGUUGUAAACCUCUUUCAGCACCGACGAAGCGCAAGUGACGGUAGGUGCAGAAGAAGGACCGGCCAACUACGUGCCAGCCGCCGCUGUAA
rnacentral:rRNA from 1 species